UCUGGGGCGCCGCGACGCCUUUCCCAAGGAAGAGACCUGGAAGGAGGACCAAGAAAAGUGUGUUCCUUCCGGCCUCAUCCUUCCCCUAGGAGUUUAAGAACCCGACUGAUCCUUUCCUUUCCAGCCUAAAAACGGUUCACUCCCCCUCCCCCCAAAUCAUUCUCCGCAGACAAGCCCAAACCCGCGCAAAGCGAGACGCACGCGCGCACCAAGAAAACAUCAAUUUCCAUACCGGGUGAGGUUUUGUAAAAUACAUUUCAUUUGUCAGUCUUUUCCUCCAGGACUGGCAGGUAAGACACACUUUACGCACCGAAGAUGACACACUUUACGCACCGAAGAUGCGUUACCGGAUGGCAGCCGUUUUUGUGCUCGGACACCAGGGCGGUUUCACCUCCAGGUUACGGAUUCCAAACUUAGCUCCACCCGAGCGGAAAAUGGCCGGUGCGCCGCCUCCCCUCCCCGAGGCUGCCGAAGCCGCCGCCGGCCCCUGCCCCCCUCUUGACCGAUCCCCGAAGGACUUGCGUCGGAUCGGAUCCAACACCUUUCCCUGGCGCGGUAGUGCUGUGCUCUUUGGGGACGCAUUGUAGGGUACCCCGAUGAAAGACGCGAUCCCCUCUCCAGCCCCGUUCCUUGUGCCGCUUUACCUUUCCGCUCGGCACCGCCUCGCGGGCCUCUUAGCCCCUCUCUUCUGUCCCCAGGUCCGUGCGCAAACAGCCCCAGACCUCUCCAGUCAGGCUGCACCCGGCCCCGCCGCCAGAUCAGCUGCGCCAAAAGCCUCUUUGUUCUCGGCUGUCCUCGGAGCCUCCAGCAGCCGUGUCCCCGCUAAAGCUCUGGCAGCACUGUGUGUCGAUGCUCCUUGAAGCUUCAGCCUCUUCUCGAUGGGAGUUUAACCUUUGCUCUGAAGCGAGGUUUUGUUAAGAGACACGGGUCUGUACAAACGAGGUGAGAUCAGCCUUCGCCUCUUACCACAACCGUUGUUCGGAAGGGUUUCUGUGCCUCAUCGUCUGCAGAUGUCACUUGGGAGUUGAGUCCUUUUUAGCUUUGAGGAACGGCCCAGCAAGGGGGCCCCUCCCAAACACCUUGCCCGAGCUUACUUUGGGUUCAUCCCCAGGCUUCUUGAAGAUUAAUUCACGGUGGCGGCUCCCCGCAACCCCCCCCCAACAGCACCUGAGCUGAGAGGACUUUUACCCUGUCGGGUUACCGCCGAGCUGUAUCAGGUGAAAGCGGGAACCUCCAGACCAUCUGUUGUUAAAGAAAAAUUAAUAACGGAACACGUAUAGAGCAAACACUUUGUACUGCUGCAUAAUAAAUGUGGAAUGCAGUGA